GGGGUGACUGCGUACCUUUUGUAUAAUGGGUCAGCGACUUAUAUUCUGUAGCAAGGUUAACCGCAUAGGGGAGCCGAAGGGAAACCGAGUCUUAAUUGGGCGUUAAGUUGCAGGGUAUAGACCCGAAACCCGGUGAUCUAGCCAUGGGCAGGUUGAAGGUUGGGUAACACUAACUGGAGGACCGAACCGACUAAUGUUGAAAAAUUAGCGGAUGACCUGUGGCU
rnacentral:rRNA from 2 species